ACCCGUGGUUACCUCAUAAAACCUUGUCCUUAUCUUCAUCAAUGUUGGAUGCCUGUUUACGUUAACAAUUUCUUAUGUUUACCAAAGCUAAUCAAAUUGUCGAGGAAAUCUAGUAUUUUCAUUUCUCAGAGAGAUUUCUUGUUCGAAGUAAGAGAGAGAGAGAGAGAGAUAUGAUGAACUGCACAUAACAUCAUGAGAGAGAGAGAGAGGAUGUAAUCGGAGGAGGAAAAGAGUAUAGAAAUAGAACGAGGGGAGUUCAGGGAGCCACUGCUUGAGAGGAAUAGGAGGAGAAACACGACCUCUCAGCUAGCCAUUGUUGGUGCCAUUCUCUCUCCCAUUGAAAGCCUUGACUACGAGAUUAUUGAGAAUGAUCUUUUUAAGCAGAACUGGAGGUCUAGAACGAAGGCUGAGAUAUUUCAGUAUGUUUGCCUCAACUGGGCACUUGUGCUGCUUAUUGGUUUAAGCACUGCGUUAGUCGGCUUCUUCAAUAACCUAGCUGUCGAGAAUAUAGCUGGUUUCAAACUUCUGCUUACCAACAACCUCAUGCUUCAGGACAAUGCAGGUAUUAUCAGGCAUUUGCAGCAUUCGUUUGUUGUAACAUAACCUUGGCUGCUGCUGCUGCAGCUCUUUGUGCAUACAUUGCCCCGGCGGCAGCAGGCUCUGGCAUACCUGAGGUUAAAGCAUAUCUAAAUGGAGUCGAUGCUCAUUCUAUAUUGGCUCCAAGUACCCUCUUUGUAAAGGGCGCUAUUUUCUUUCGCUAAAGCUGAAACAAUGUCCCUCGCUAAAGCUGCUAUUUUCUUUCGGGCGCUUGGCCUCAGGCACUUGCUGGUGGUGCCUAAGACACCAGGGAGGCCUCCAAUUGUUGGGAUCUUGACAAGGCACGAUUUCAUGCCGGAGCACAUAUUGGAACUUUUUCCGCAGUUGAAUCCUCACGAAUAAAAGUAACAAUCGCAGACAAGCAAGAAGCUCGAUAACUACUGUGUAAUAUCAACUCUGUAUGGAUUGUAAUACGAUGUUGCUUUCUGAAAGCGCACUUGGAUGGCACUGAAUAAAUGUUCGGUCUCCGUAUGCUGUUGCUGGGGACGCUUGCAAAUCGCAGAGUUUCUUGUUGGCUAGAAAAUUUCGUUCAAUCAAUAACCUAAUAUCAGGGGAGUAGAGUUUGAUUUUCGAUAAAAAGAAAUGAUUGAUGAUAUUUC